GAGGGGCUCACCUUUCUGGCCGCUGAGCGCCGCGUACCAGGAGAGCGAGAAGAAGGCGCACAGGCAGAAGAGCAGCAGCGUCAGGACGGCGCCAUUGCGGAGCCUCAUCUCCUCAGAUCCCGAUGUGCCUGAGACUGUAUGUGUGCCCUCCAAGAGUGAAGUUUCUGUUUUCUCCAGUCCUGUGGAAGUCCUGCAAUCAAAUCCCACUGAAUGUCAAAGCCAGAUUCUCUAGGGAUUCCUCUUCCCAUUGACAGACACCGCACCCACCCCCCCAACCGGCUGGGAAGCCUGAUGUGGUGUUCAAAACUUUCAUUCCAGUGGGAGAACUUCUGAGGCUGGAUUGCUCCUGCCAUGAUCUUUAUUUUGAAGUACCUGUCCACCAGGGUCCAUCUGUCUCCUGCCCCAGGAUGGGGAGCGAUGUGGCUGGAUCUGGCUUUGCCACCAGCUGGGAUAAGCUUUACAGGAACACUGUGAUCUGACUUAUGUGGACCAAGAAGUUUGCAACAACCAACCAAGCCCCUCCCUCAUCUUGCCUUUAAAAAUGCUUUGCUGCAACCCUUUGGGGAGUCCCAGGUUUGAGGGGGACAAGCCGCCCUUUAUCCUCAUGUGACGCUGCAAUAAACCUUUCCUGGCUUCAAACUCCGAUGUUUUGGCCUGUGUGGCCUCACUGCAUCAGGCACACAAACUUGCUCUUCAGUAACAGGUUGACUCUUUUCACCUGAUAACCCAAGGAGACAUUGUCACAAAACUUGCAAAUAGUCUCCUAAGGACCCAAGGGAGGAGACAGAUGGGCCCCCGGGCUAGACAGGUGGUGUUCGUCAAGUGGAGUAAAACUGAAGCUUUGUUCUCACCCAGAGACUCCAAGGACAAAGCUAGUGGCGAAAGCUGAGCUCUACUAAAAUAAAGAGGUAAGGUACCAACUCCUAAGGUCAAGGAAGACUUCCCUGUCUGCACACGCACAGGAAGGCUUCUUGAGGAUCGAAGAGGGAGUGGGCCUCACUCCACAGGAAGUGUGGACAGGCAUGCACCCAUUGGCCUCUGUGGUGGGAUCCAUCUUAGAAAAAAGUGCACACAUAUUUAGGGGAAGGUCUUAGGGCAAUCGGGUGUAAAGAAAGAAAUGAUAAAGGUCAAAGGUAAACAAAGACCUGGAAGGAUUGUCCUGUGUCUAAGUGAUUUAAAUCACCUUUUUACUGCGCUCCUCAUUUAGGACAUCCACUCCCUUCACAGGAUAUAUUAUCUUGGCCUAGCUUCUGACACUGUGGCCCUCCCCGUUAGAGGGAACGCCCAUAUCCUGUCUCUCUGGGUGCCUAUUUCUGCCCUGCUUCUCUUAACCGUCUCUGUGUGCUCUCUCCUACACUGUGCUGUGUCUCUGAUAAUAAACUUUGUAUCUGCUUUUACAGUUUUUGCCUCCUUGAAACCUUGCUUUCAGAUAAGAGGGGAGAGCCAGGGAACUUUCCUUCUAGCCUCUAUCCCCUGGUGGUCCAGUGACUA